rnacentral:rRNA from 1 species
GACGAACGCUGGCGGCGUGCCUAAUACAUGCAAGUGGGACGCAAGGGAACACACUGUGCUUGCACACCGUGUUUUCUUGAGUCGCGAACGGGUGAGUAACGCGUAGGUAACCUGCCUAUUAGCGGGGGAUAACUAUUGGAAACGAUAGCUAAUACCGCAUAAUAUUAAUUAUUGCAUGAUAAUUGAUUGAAAGAUGCAAGCGCAUCACUAGUAGAUGGACCUGCGUUGUAUUAGCUAGUUGGUAAGGUAAGAGCUUACCAAGGCGACGAUACAUAGCCGACCUGAGAGGGUGAUCGGCCACACUGGGACUGAGACACGGCCCAGACUCCUACGGGAGGCAGCAGUAGGGAAUCUUCGGCAAUGGACGAAAGUCUGACCGAGCAACGCCGCGUGAGUGAAGAAGGUUUUCGGAUCGUAAAGCUCUGUUGUAAGAGAAGAACGAGUGUGAGAGUGGAAAGUU